GCAAGCGUUAAUCGGAAUUACUGGGCGUAAAGCGCGCGUAGGCGGUUAAAUAAGUCAGAUGUGAAAUCCCUGGGCUCAACCUAGGAACUGCAUUUGAAACUAUUUGGCUAGAGUAUGGUAGAGGUGAGUGGAAUUUCAGGUGUAGCGGUGAAAUGCGUAGAGAUCUGAAGGAACAUCAGUGGCGAAGGCGACUCACUGGGCCAUUACUGACGCUGAGGUGCGAAAGCGUGGGUAGCAAACAGGAUUAGAUACCCUGGUAGUCCUAGCCGUAAACGGUGCACACUUGCUAUGAGCGGAUUCGACCCCGUUCGUGGCGUAGCUAACGCGUUAAGUGUGCCGCCUGGGGAGUACGGUCGCAAGAUUAAAACUCAAAGAAAUUGACGGGGGCCUGCACAAGCGGUGGAGUAUGUGGCUUAAUUCGAUGCAACGCGAAGAACCUUACCUGGCCUUGACAUGUUUGUGGUAAAACCCUGAAAGGGGAAUGACCUCGCAAGAGGAGCUUACACAGGUGCUGCAUGGCUGUCGUCAGCUCGUGUCGUG
rnacentral:rRNA from 1 species